UACGAAGGGUGCAAGCGUUAGUCGGAAUCACUGGGCGUAAAGGGCGCGUAGGCGGCUCAUGAAGGCUGUGGUGAAAGUCCGGGGCUCAACCUCGGAUCGGCCGUGGCGACUCGUGGGCUGGAGCACUGUAGAGGCGGGUGGAAUUCCGGGUGUAGCGGUGGAAUGCGUAGAGAUCCGGAAGAACACCAGUGGCGAAGGCGGCCCGCUGGGCAGUGGCUGACGCUGAGGCGCGACAGCGUGGGGAGCAAACAGG
rnacentral:rRNA from 1 species